UGAGUAAUGUCUGGGAAACUGCCUGAUGGAGGGGGAUAACUACUGGAAACGGUAGCUAAUACCGCAUGACGUCUUCGGACCAAAGUGGGGGACCUUCGGGCCUCACGCCAUCAGAUGUGCCCAGAUGGGAUUAGCUAGUAGGUGGGGUAAUGGCUCACCUAGGCGACGAUCUCUAGCUGGUCUGAGAGGAUGACCAGCCACACUGGAACUGAGACACGGUCCAGACUCCUACGGGAGGCAGCAGUGGGGAAUAUUGCACAAUGGGCGCAAGCCUGAUGCAGCCAUGCCGCGUGUAUGAAGAAGGCCUUCGGGUUGUAAAGUACUUUCAGCGAGGAGGAAGGCAUUAAGGUUAAUAACCUUAGUGAUUGACGUUACUCGCAGAAGAAGCACCGGCUAACUCCGUGCCAGCAGCCGCGGUAAUACGGAGGGUGCAAGCGUUAAUCGGAAUUACUGGGCGUAAAGCGCACGCAGGCGGUUGGUUAAGUCAGAUGUGAAAUCCCCGAGCUUAACUUGGGAACUGCAUUUGAAACUGGUCAGCUAGAGUCUUGUAGAGGGGGGUAGAAUUCCAGGUGUAGCGGUGAAAUGCGUAGAGAUCUGGAGGAAUACCGGUGGCGAAGGCGGCCCCCUGGACAAAGACUGACGCUCA
rnacentral:rRNA from 1 species